CAGUAGUUGAGUGGAUAACAUGAUGGCAUUUGAAGCGAACGGUACUGGGUUCGAGUCCCAGAGUGAA
rnacentral:tRNA from 1 species